GGUCAGCUAAAGCAGUAUAAUCUACUAGACUUAUCCUAAAACCACGGGGACCUAUAAUAUAAUGUUCGUGCAAGUUACUCUAGUCGGAGUAUGGAACAUCCAUUCGUUGCUUACGAUGUUCAAGUUGAAGAUGAUCACCAAUACUGAACUGUACAAGUGUGUGUAAUUAAGUUUUAGAAUAAAACGAAUAAAGCUGCGACUACCCGUUAAAGUAUAA